rnacentral:rRNA from 1 species
AUUGAACGCUGUCGGCAGGCUUAACACAUGCAAGUCGAGCGAGCGGCGGACGGGUGAGUAAUGUCUGGGAACCUGCCUGAUGGAGGGGUAUCACUACUGGAAACGGUAGCUAAUACCGCCUCCCAUCAGCUGUGCCCAGAUGGGAGUAGGUCGUAGGUGGGGUAAUGGCGCAACAAGGCGACGAUCUCUAGCUGUUCUGACAGGAUGAUCCGCCAAGCGUGGAUGGAGACACGGCCCAGACUCCUACGGGAGGCAGCAGUUGGGAAUAUUGCACAAUGGGCGCAAGCCUGAUGCAGCAAUGCCGCGUGGAUGAAGAAGGCCUUCGGGUUGUAAAGUACUUUCAGUCGGGAGGCGUUACCGACAGAAGAAGCACCGGCUAACUCCGUGCCAGCAGCCGCGGUAAUUC